UACAGAGGUGGCAAGCGUUGUUCGGAAUUACUGGGCGUAAAGGGCGCGUAGGCGGUCUUGUAAGUCUUGUGUGAAAUCCCUCGGCUCAACUGAGGAACUGCACGGGAUACUGCGAGACUUGAGUUCGGGAGAGGGAAGCGGAAUUCCGGGUGUAGCGGUGAAAUGCGUAGAUAUCCGGAGGAACACCGGUGGCGAAGGCGGCUUCCUGGACCGAUUACUGACGCUGAGGCGCGAAAGCUAGGGGAGCAGACGGG
rnacentral:rRNA from 1 species